CGAGACCAGCCUGGGCAACAUGUGAGAGAAACAAGAAAGUACAGCGAUGAAACAGAAGUACUAGUUUGUGUGGCAUCUACAGGAUGUUUGGAAGAGUGAGAUAAGGGACACAUUGAAAACAGAGAGGCAAUCUGAAGGCUACCUUGACACAUCUGCAAAACUCCCAGAUUCUGACUUUCACACUUGCAUUCUGUUUCUGGGCCUCACCUAAACAGACUGCCAAUCAUCCGAGCCGUGGCAGGAUGGAGAUGUUUGUGUAAAGUAGACUCAAGUUUGCAAGGCUCAAGAAGGAAACCACCAAACUAAUUUUACUUUCACUUAAACCAGAUUGAAACCAAGACUUGAAGAAUUAAAAACUUUGACAUUAACCAUUGAUUCAUUCCAAUGAAAUAUUGUGUUACAGCCAGAAUCAUGGUGAAAUUGGAAUGCGGCUUUUGAUGGGAUAUUUAAUUGAGGGACUUACAUUAAAUUGGACGUUUUCUUUAGUGAACAGCAUGUGGCCAAAAUUCUAUUUUCAUUAAAGUAUAUUAAGCAUCAUGACAACUCAUAUUAAACCUGCAACAAAUGAUUAAUUACAUUUAGAGACUUCAAAACAAAUGAGAUGUCUUAAAUAAUAAGAAUCAAAAAGAACAUCUCAAAGUUGUUUCUAUUCUUAGUAAUUAUAUUAAAAAAAUCUUUCCUUGCUGUUAAAUCCAGUUGCUAAAAAUAAAAACUGUUCCCUGAAAAAUCAGAAUGCCUAAUGAUAAAUUUGUUUAUUUGUUUUUUAAAAGAGGAGGAUGGUGAGAAAAAUAGAAAGCUCCUGGCUGACAUCAGAAAUCACAAGAUGAGUUCCUCAUUUGUCCAAAUGACAUUCAGCUGCUAAAAGAAGUCAGACUUUUAGAGGGCUGCUGAGGAGAGAGUAAGUCAGGAGGUUUCCAGUACAUGACUGCAGGGGAAUCAGACACAGACUAGUCACGUAAGUUGUCCAUGUACCCUUAGCCCACGACUUCAGGGCUCAGCAGCUUCAUCCUUCAUGGCACCAAACCUUGAUGUAAGGGAUUCAAAGACACACUAAUAAGAAUAGUGAAUUUGUCCUUACUCAAAAUUUGGGGGACUGUCUAAACAAAACAAAACAAAACAAGGAGAUCUUAUCCCUCAGUGAAAGGGACUUUAUGUUAAUUGUCAAUUAUAACAAUAUAUAAAAUAUGUAAAAAAGAAUUAUAGCACUGCAGGCCAUCAAGGUCAAACAUUUAAAACAAAAUUAGGCUAAAUUUUAAGGAUUAAAUGGCUUUUAUCUUUGUAAAGAAAAGAAUGUGUGUGUAUUGAUUGCCUAUGUAGAAUGAUUUAUAAAUCUUCUGGCAUGGUCAAUUUGUAAUAAAUUACUGAAAAUGUGGGAUUAUGAUGAAACUCUUUAAAUGUGCCAAAUAAAGUCAAGGAAACCACCUAAGUCCUGGGGUGGGCAUGAGUGAGACACUGGGAUAAUCCUGAUGCUACUCUGGGGCUGUCCGUGAGGGGUGGGAUAUCAGCUUCCCUACGGGGCUCACCAGAGACUCCUUCAAGGGAGCAUUUCUUGGUUCUUGGUUUCCAUGUUGUGUUUAUGUCAUGUUGAUAAGCUGGAGUAAAAGCCAAAUCCUUUUGCAUGAUUCAGUUUUGUCUUUUUAAAGAGACACUAUCAUACUUGGUGAACAAGGGUAGUGAAAAAAAUACUUAUAUUUUUCAACUUUUGUUUAGCUUGGAAUAUUGAGUGAUGAGGUUAAAAAAAAGUUUCUUCUUCUUUGGUUGGAGACCCUUCCUCCCACCCUUAUCCCCUUUUGACCAUUGCAAAAUAGCUUAGUCCAAGGAAAGGGAAGAAGACAAAUGAGUGAAAUAAUGCCAGAGUGAGUUAUUGCCAGGAAAAACACACUCGGAUUCAGUUAAUUUGUUCUGUUAAUGUCAAAGGCUGUGAUUCCCAAUUAACUAAUUUUAAGACCCUAUAUCUGAAAGUAGUUACAUCAGCUCUAAAGUUAAUGUCUGAUGAAGAUCACGAUCUUCAAUUAAGAGAACAGGGACCCUAAAGAGGUGGUGAUGUCUGUUUAAGAUCAUCUUGCUAAGUAAAUACACACCGGCUUGGAUUUUCAAACAGCGUUUAGCCCCUUCAGAGAAGUUGAGUGGAGGUGAGAAGGGAGGGAACAAUCCAGAUAUUUUGGCAAUAGAAAAUGUUCCACAAAUCACUGAUUUGUGUAUACUCAACUUACUAAUGACAGAAGCAUACAUACUAGUGAGUCUCUUUGGGAUAGAGACGCUUCUCUAGUUCAAGUGGAAUUAAUUAAAACAGGCAUGUAGUUUGCAAUAUUUCCAGCUCCCGCACCGAAAGGCUCCAUGCACAUAAACCAGAACAGCUUCAGCAGCUGAGAAAAGCUAGGCCAAAAAUGACUCCACCACUUCUCUCCUUUCUCUCCUUUUAUAUUGGAAUGGAAAGAUACAAUAAUAUAUAUUUUUUGAAAGCAGAACACUCAUGGUUUCUGUACAAUUGCAAGUGCUUUGAUUACCUUUGAAUGGGGUUAACAUAAAAAUAUAUAUGCUCUUAAAAGUCAAGAUCAUAACUUGCUAAUGAAGUCGUGAAUUAUCCAGAAGGAAACUAUGCACAAGCACAUGCCGAAUGGCAGAAUCUCUUGUCUCUAAAAGUUCAGUUAUUGCCUUUGUAAUAUUAAAGCCCAACAGGGAGCUGGAGGGACACCUUUUGUGCUGUCUUGUCAUGUUAUAGGUUUCCAGUUUCAGAUAAAAGAGGAGAAAGGGCCCUUAGAAAGUAAAAAACUUGAAAAAAAUAUCAAACUUCCUUCUCUGAAAGCAAAGGGUUAUUUUCCUAGAGAUGAUGGAUAAUGGCAUUUCGACUUUCUAAGUUUCUGAUAGAGAAAAUGGAGGCAAAUCACAGAGGGGAAAUAGAAUAUAUUAAACAAAUAGAAUAAGGUAAAGUUUCAACGACCGCUUCCCUUGAUUUUUUUCUUUCUCUCAUUCUCUCUUCCUUUCUUUUUCUCCUUUCGUUUUUUGAAAUCUUAAACCCCAUUUCUGACUUGUAUUUGGUAGGAUCCCUGCUCUAACUUUUAUUAAAAACAGACUUUAUGUGGUCAGAACUCCCCAUCUAAAGCUGGAUUUAACAGGCAUGGGGAUCCUGACAGUCUUUCUUGCUCUCUCAGGUGACCACCCCCUGUGCCCUUUCCCAGGAUUUCCCUCCCAAAGUGCUGAACUGGCACAGAAACUUGAAGGCUCAGCACAAAACAACCAACUUUCCUUUUUAAUCCUGUACUCUCAUUUCUGUUUUAAAUUUGGGACUCUCUGCAUGGUCAGAUCAAGUAAAGUCUGGUUCUAACUUGAGAGUAUUCUAGAAAUUUCAAAUAAGGCAACUGUCAUCCUAUAAAUUCCCCAGUGCAAUCUCAUUAAAUCCUGCUGCCCAUGCACUGGCCAUCCAGCUCAGGCUACUCAUUCUCGUCCGGCUGUCUUACGUGUGUGAGCUGGAAAAUACCAACAGCAACCCCACCCUGCUUAACAAGUCAGCUUAGCAUUCAAAAGUUGAUUUUUCUGAAGGGUACUGGCAAGCCAGCUCAUUGGAAACCCACAGGUAAAGCAGUCAAGCAAGUAGGCAUAACAUGCAUGUUCAUUAUCGAGGACAGGCACUACCAGGUUGCUCUGGUUUCUUCUCAUAGCUAGACAGACAAAAGUAGCUCCUGCAUGGGACUCCAGCCUUCCCACUCUCAACUCUUCCUCUUCCAAUGGCCUCAAUACCUUCCUGGUACAAUGGCAGACACUUUCCCAGUCAAUUUGAGAUUUUCUAAAAUAAUAAAUUGGAUCUUGCUUGUAACAAGGCUAAAUGCUGAAAUUCAUGCUUUUCACAUGGAAGGGAAUUCUUUUGAACACUACAGUCCAGUGGUUCUCAUGUGGAGGGGAAUUUUACUUCCCUAAGAGACACUGGCAGUGUCUACAGAUAUUUUUAGUGGUCACAACUGGGGGAGUGCAACUGAAAUCUAGAGGGUAGAGGCAAGGGACGCUGCCUUAUAAUACACAGGACAGACUCCACAACAAAAAUGUCAGUACGGAUGAGGUUGAGAAACCCUGGGGUCAUAGUUGGGAAAUGGCUCUGGAAGCAGACUGCAUGGGAUUAAAGUCCAGUUCCAGUAGGGACUGGCUGAGCAGCCUUGGACAAGUUGUUUAACCUCACUACCUCAUCUGUAAAAUGUGGAUAAUAACCUAUUUGUUGUGAGCUUUAAACAAAAAUGUAUAUACAAAGUUCUUAGGGCAAUGCCUAGUAACAUUGAGAGCACAAUAAAUGUUGGCUAUUACUGUUACCAUUACUACUAGAAAUUUAGCACCAUUCCAAAUAAAUUACAAGCCAAGUCUAUUGAAUUUAGAGAAAAAAAAUUGGAUUGAGAAUAUAUAUGUCCUCUUUGCUUAGAACCAAAAUGAUAACAGGGGUAACAGCUGUGUUCUUUACAGUGUUUCAAACUCUUUCAAAUACCUCAUGUCAUACGAUCUAGGCAACAACCUUACUGAAUUCUCCCUGUUUCACAGAUAAAGAACUCUUGUCUCAGAGUUAAUGAGGUGCCCAAGACCUUCAGUAACUCAGGUCUUCUGACUGCAAAUCUCCUGCUUGUUCUUGCUGCACCACCCUGUGUGUACUAGUUUAAGAUCCCCCUUCUCUUCAUUACACUCAACAACCUGAAGAUCAAAAUAAAACAUAAGUGCCACAAUCAAUUGGUGAGGUGGCUCAGGCUUCAGGGGUGGGUAGAAGUCACAUCUGUUUUUAUGGUAUGUAUACAGCAGAUUUUCCUUCAUGGAGUAUAUAUAUAUUUUAAAUCUCUGAAUUGAAUUUUAAAAAAUUAACUUUAUGUAUGGGCUAAUAUUCUUUGCUAUUUAUACUUCUGAUUUUGAGGGGGAAAAACCUUAGUACUUUAUAUCUUAAAAAUUUCUGAUUAUAUUCAUUAUGUAUAUUUUGACUGUAUGAGUAUAAAGGUGAGACUACAGCUCCAACUAUGUAUGUUUCUAGGUCCAUUAUUUAUUAACUAUAUUGUAUCACAAUUAAGCCUGAAAAUCUACUUAUAAUUGUCAACAUGUAUUAUUUAAAUGUACAAUAAACUAUCUUAUAUAUGAUUAGAGACUAUA